rnacentral:pre_miRNA from 1 species
CAACUACUCCCUCUGUCCCAAAGUUCUUGUCUUAGAUUUGUCUAGAUACGGAUGUAUCUAAUACUAAAAUGUGACUUGAUACAUCCGUAUCUAGACAAAUCUAAGCAAGAAUUUUGGGACGGAGGGAGUACUUU